GAUGAACGCUGGCGGCGUGCCUAAUACAUGCAAGUCGAGCGAAUGGAUUAAGAGCUUGCUCUUAUGAAGUUAGCGGCGGACGGGUGAGUAACACGUGGGUAACCUGCCCAUAAGACUGGGAUAACUCCGGGAAACCGGGGCUAAUACCGGAUAACAUUUUGAACCGCAUGGUUCGAAAUUGAAAGGCGGCUUCGGCUGUCACUUAUGGAUGGACCCGCGUCGCAUUAGCUAGUUGGUGAGGUAACGGCUCACCAAGGCAACGAUGCGUAGCCGACCGGAUAGGGUGAUCAGCAACACUGGGACGGAGACACGGCCCAGACUCCUACGGGAGGCAGCAGUAGGGAAACUUCCGCAAUGGACGAAAGUCUGACGGAGCAACGCCGCGUGAGUGAUGAAGGCUUUCGGGUCGUAAAACUCUGUUGUUAGGGAAGAACAAGUGCUAGUUGAAUAAGCUGGCACCUUGACGGUACCUAACCAGAAAGCCACGGCUAACUACGUGCCAGCAGCCGCAGUAA
rnacentral:rRNA from 1 species